AGAGUUUGAUCCUGGCUCAGGACGAACGCUGGCGGCGUGCUUAACACAUGCAAGUCGAACGCUCCUAGAGGUUGGAGAUUAGAGGUUAGAAGCUGGAUUUAAAGCCCGUGUUUCGGGCGGCGGGCUAAAAGGAAAGCCCGAGGUCUAAUUUCCGACUUCCAAUCUCCAACCUCCAGAAGAGAGUGGCGCACGGGUGAGUAACACGUGGGCAAUCUGCCCGGAAGACUGGGAUAACAGCGCGAAAGUGCUGCUAAUACCGGAUACCUUCACGAAGUCGCAUGACUUUGUGCAGAAAGUUUUUCGCUUCCGGAUGAGCCCGCGUCCCAUUAGCUAGUUGGUGAGGUAACGGCCCACCAAGGCGACGAUGGGUAGCUGGUCUGAGAGGACGAUCAGCCACACUGGAACUGAGACACGGUCCAGACUCCUACGGGAGGCAGCAGUGGGGAAUCUUGCGCAAUGGGCGAAAGCCUGACGCAGCAACGCCGCGUGAACGAUGAAGGCCUUCGGGUCGUAAAGUUCUGUCAAGGGGGACGAUAAUGACGGUACCCUUGGAGGAAGCCCCGGCUAACUACGUGCCAGCCGCCGCGGUAAUAC
rnacentral:rRNA from 1 species